CAGAGGGAUGCAAAUCCGCGAGGAGGAGCGACCCCCAAAAGCCGUCUCAGUUCGGAUCGCAGGCUGCAACCCGCCUGCGUGAAGUCGGAAUCGCUAGUAAUCGCGAAUCAGAAUGUCGCGGUGAAUACGUUCCCGGGUCUUGUACACACCGCCCGUCACACCAUGGGAGUCGGAAAUGCCCGAAGUCAGUGACCUAACCGAAAGGGAGGAGCUGCCGAAGGUGGAGCCGGUAACUGGGGUGAAGUCGUAACAAGGUAGC
rnacentral:rRNA from 1 species